rnacentral:lncRNA from 13 species
CAUUUUUUAUGACAGUUUUUCUGAUGAUGAUGAUAUUGAGCAUCUUUUCAUGUACUUAUUAGCCAUUUAUGUAUCUUACUUGGAGAAAUGUCUGUUUAUAUCCUUUGCCUAUUUUAAACUUAGAUUGUCAUUGUCUUUGUUAAUUGUAAGAGUUCUUUCUGUGUAUAUGAAUGUCCAACUUAUCUAUUUUUUCUUUGAUUGUUUGUGCUUUUGAUAUCAUAACUGAGGAUCUUUUGCCAAGUCCAAGUAGAGACGAGGUUUCACCAUGUUGACUGGGAUGGUCUCGAUCUCUCGACCUUGUGAUCCACCCGCCUUGGCCUCCCAAAGUGCUGGGAUUAUAGGCGAGAGCCACCGCGCCUGGCCGAAAACAUCAGCAGACCUUCUUGUGACAGUCAGGACAGGAAUAUUCAGAUGCUUCUCCCCGGCAGCUGUGGGACCUGCCACGGGAGCAGGAGAAACAGGGAGGCCACAGUGGAUUCUGUUCUUGGAGCCUACAUGGAGGUGUUCACUAAAAAGCACAUAAUGGUUGAGCCCCUACUGUGUGCCAGGCAUCAGACAAGACAACCUAUAAACAGGAUCAUCAUCUUCACCACAGCCUGGCCAGGAAGGUGUCGUCAUUCCUAUUUUGCAGAUAAGAAAGAGUAAAUGACUUAAGGUCGACAGCUGAGUCAAGAUUUUAACAGCAAUUUAUUUUAUUCCAGUGCCAGAGAUGGAUAACUUCAUAUGACGCUGGAGGGGAUGCAUAUUUUGUCCACAUUUAGGCACAUUCCUUGAAUGCAGGCAGAGAAUGUCUCCAGGUUCUCCGCCAGGAGAAGUAAUAUAUAAUCCUUGGAAAAAAAUUUGAAAUACAGAAAAGUAAAAAGAAGAAAAUAUAAAUCACACAAAAUUACUCUAUUCAAAAAACAGCCACUAUUAACAUUUUGUUGCAUUUUCUUGUGUGUGUUUUCCCUAAGCCUUCUGUGUGAUACCCUGCGUGAGAUCCUGCUUUUUUCAUUUGACAUUCCAUGAGCAUUUAUCCAUGUCAUUAAAAUUUCUUCAGAAGCAUGAUUUUAACAACUGCCUGAUCUUUUAUCAUAUGACUAUUCCUUCAAACUCUUGAGCUCCCCUAUUGCAACAACCUCACUGCACAGAAGUACACAUGGACGUGAUGAUGGGGCCCUCUCCCAGGCACUGGGGCAGUGACAGGCCUGUGACAGGGAGGAGACAGAGAGAAACAGAGAGGAGAAAAGACAUGGUCUCUGCCCUGAAAAAACUGAUGGCCAAUUUGACAGACUCAAAGGAGUGGACUUUGAAUUUUGGAAACGAUGGAGCUAGCAAAGUCGCUAGAACUAGAAUUAACAUCUAAAGAGAAAUAACAAGCUCAGAAGAAAAGAUAGAAUGCCUUGGCCAGGUGCGGUGACUAACGCCUGUAAUCCCAGCACGUUGGGAGGCAGAGAUGGGCAGAUGAUGAGGUCAGGAGUUCAAGACCAGCCUGGCCAACAUGGUGAAACCCAAGUCUCUACUAAAAAUACAAAAAUUAGCUGGGCGUGGUGGUGGGCACCUGUAGUCUCAGCUACUUGGGAGGCUGAGGCAGGAGAAUCGCUUGAUCCCAGGAGACUGAGGUUGCAGUGAGCCAAGAUUAUGUCACUGCACUUCAGCCUGGGCAACACAGUGAGACUCUGUCUCAAAAAAAUAAAAAUAAUAG